rnacentral:sRNA from 1 species
UGCAGACACCCCGGUGGGUCCAGUGCUCCCACCCAGGGACAGAGAAGGAUGGGGCACGGGGAGGGAGAGUGGAUGGUGGGGGGCCUGAGGGUGUGCCCAGUCAGAGGGCUGAGGAGAAAGGACCUUUGUGUGCGACAGCUCCUGCUGCCAGAGCAAGUGUGGGUUUUAUGGCAGCUGUGGCCUCCGGUCCUAAUAUAGUCAACAGCUCCAAAUCCCCUGCCCUGACACCUGUUAGCGAGAGGUUCCCUGAGCUGACCUUUCCUUGGGCUGCCCCCCCACCCCCAGCAUGUGCAUCUGACGCGUCAAGGGCCAGACCCCCACCCUCUCCGAAUCACACGCAUCCUGGUCAGCCCCCAGUUGACAAAUUGCCUUCUCUCGACUUGGGCAGGGGCUGCUGGGGUUUUGAGGGGCGGGGUUUGUUCAGCUGUUGCUAGGGAAGGGUGAGGCUGAGCUAUCCCAAAGGAAAUGGGGUGUUCCUCUGGCAAGUGGCAAUCUUGGCAAAGAACUGAGCGUCUGGGGAGGGGGCAACUCCAGACACAAAGAAGUCCUGGGGAGGGCCGACCUUUCCCCUUAGGAUGGGGGAAAUGAAAUGUGAUCCGCUUAAUGCUGCUACAGCUGCUUCCUAACUUUGCCUCUUUCUUCCUUUGACUUUUGGAGGAGUGGGAUGGAAAAGAGAUGGGGGUUCCCAGACAGCCAGCCAUUUUCCCCACUGACCCAUGCUCCAAUUCCCACUGCCCUGGCUCAGUAGCCUCCAGUAAGUGAUGCCCAGGAUGGUGCGGCUCCAUGUGGCCAGCAUAAUUCCCUUUGUCUCUCCCCUCCUCCCCUCUCCCUGUCUUCCUCUCUCGCCCCUUGGCUUCCCUUCCCGGCCCCGUGGUGGCUGCAGCCCAGCCCUGGGGAGCCCCUGUGGAAGUGGAGUCCUUCCUGGUCCACCCCGGUGACCUGCUGCAGCUUCGCUGUCGGCUGCGGGACGAUGUGCAGAGCAUCAACUGGCUGCGGGACGGGGUGCAGCUGGCGGAAAGCAACCGCACCCGCAUCACAGGGGAGGAGGUGGAGGUGCAGGACUCCGUGCCCGCAGACUCCGGCCUCUAUGCUUGCGUAACCAGCAGCCCCUCGGGCAGUGACACCACCUACUUCUCCGUCAAUGUUUCAGGUUGGUAGCCAAGCCCUGCCCUUGCCCCUCCCUAGACCCACCCCCUCCAACCCUCUCUGCCAGUUUCAGGGGAAGGUGAACCUCCUCCCCCUCCGUGAUCUGCCCCCACUCUGCUUCAGAAACUGCUGCCCACUAACAUUGCUCCCUGCCUGCCGCGUGGCUUGGCUCUCAGAGAGGUGACUAGGUGGGGUGGGCCCCAGGGCCGGAGAUCUGGGGCUUCCAGGACACACCUCGGAGGUGAUUGCCAGGGCUCUUGGGAUGUUAAGACCCUGUGAUUUUUUUCCACCACAGCUUGCCCAGAUCUCCAAGAGGCUAAGUGGUGCUCGGCCAGCUUCCACUCCAUCACUCCCUUGCCAUUUGGACUUGGUACUCGGCUUAGUGAUUAGAGCCCCUGAACAGGUGGUGGUAUCCCUGCUCUGCUGGAGAGGAACCCAGGUGCACCGCAAGGGAGCUGUGCGAGGGCAGCCAGGGAGCCCUGGAGCUCUGUGAACUUGGGAACUUGCCACUCUUAGAAUGUGACUUUCACAAAACUAGGAGUUGAGGAAGUGGAGCUGAAAUUUUCUUUAUGCCAUUUAUGCACCUCAGGGUGUGGACUUGGCACCAGAUCCCCAAAGGUGAUAGGAAGGACUGGAGAAAGAUCUGGCAUGAACCCUGAUGGGUGACCACAUGUGUAUCAAGCGUGUUCUUACAAGAAAUAAAUACUUAUUGGGGAGAGGUGUUGGCAGCUGCUGGGGUGGUGGGUGCCCUAUCUGCUCUGAUUAAGGAGGGCAGCCCCCAAACCUUAGUGGACACAUGGUAGAAAAAUUCUGACUGUGGGGUGUUUAGCCCAUCCUUUGGAAAUAGCAUCUAGCCACAGUGCGUCUAGACCUGCCUGGGUUUCCCUAUAGUCAGCCGUCCAAAGAAGAAUACAGGCUGCCUGGCUCCAGCACACCCAGGUGGCACCACAAGUUGAGAAAGCGCCUUUGAAUGUAGGACGGAAUUAAGUUAAAUAGAAACAGCUGACCCUGAUGGAACCACCCAGUGUGAAGGCUUCCAGGCAGUGGGAGGCAGUGCUUUGGGGAAGGAAGCAAACACGCACAGGAACUGUUCUUAAACAGUUUCCAUCCCACCAAGAGAUCAUCACUAAGGGAGCAGUGGGACUGGGAUCCCCAUGGGGAGGGUGUCCGUGUUCAUCUGGAACUGCACUAGCCUUGGUGAAAUCUAGGGGUCCCUAGGAGGAACCUCAGUGCCCCUUCUUCUUCCCAUAGAUGCUCUCCCCUCCUCGGAGGAUGAUGAUGAUGAUGAUGAUGACUCCUCUUCAGAGGAGAAAGAAACAGAUAACACCAAACCAAACCGUAUGCGUGAGACACUGUUUCCUAUCUUACUGCCCUUUGGGUCUGGGCAUUGGGUUUAAGAGGGGAGGGGAAGGCUGAAAGGGGAGGAAGAGGAGGGCACAUGGGGUCACGGUGCCUGUUCUGCUAAGUGCCAGGCACUGCUCACAGGUGUUGGGCAGAUGGGCAAGACACCUCCAGGUCCUGGCCUGGGCCCUGCUCCUGAGCCUGACCAGCUGCUCCUCUCCACCCUGCCUGUCUCUCUUGGCUUUCCCCGGGCAGCCGUAGCUCCAUAUUGGACAUCCCCAGAAAAGAUGGAAAAGAAAUUGCAUGCAGUGCCGGCUGCCAAGACAGUGAAGUUCAAAUGCCCUUCCAGUGGGACCCCAAACCCCACACUGCGCUGGUUGAAAAAUGGCAAAGAAUUCAAACCUGACCACAGAAUUGGAGGCUACAAGGUCCGUUAUGCCACCUGGAGCAUCAUAAUGGACUCUGUGGUGCCCUCUGACAAGGGCAACUACACCUGCAUUGUGGAGAAUGAGUACGGCAGCAUCAACCACACAUACCAGCUGGAUGUCGUGGAGCGGUCCCCUCACCGGCCCAUCCUGCAAGCAGGGUUGCCCGCCAACAAGACAGUGGCCCUGGGUAGCAACGUGGAGUUCAUGUGUAAGGUGUACAGUGACCCGCAGCCGCAUAUCCAGUGGCUAAAGCACAUCGAGGUGAACGGGAGCAAGAUUGGCCCAGACAACCUGCCUUAUGUCCAGAUCCUGAAGACUGCUGGAGUUAAUACCACCGACAAAGAGAUGGAGGUGCUUCACUUAAGAAAUGUCUCCUUUGAGGACGCAGGGGAGUAUACGUGCUUGGCGGGUAACUCUAUCGGACUCUCCCAUCACUCUGCAUGGUUGACCGUUCUGGAAGCCCUGGAAGAGAGGCCGGCAGUGAUGACCUCGCCCCUGUACCUGGAGAUCAUCAUCUAUUGCACAGGGGCCUUCCUCAUCUCCUGCAUGGUGGGGUCGGUCAUCGUCUACAAGAUGAAGAGUGGUACCAAGAAGAGUGACUUCCACAGCCAGAUGGCUGUGCACAAGCUGGCCAAGAGCAUCCCUCUGCGCAGACAGGUAACAGUGUCUGCUGACUCCAGUGCAUCCAUGAACUCUGGGGUUCUUCUGGUUCGGCCAUCACGGCUCUCCUCCAGUGGGACUCCCAUGCUAGCAGGGGUCUCUGAGUAUGAGCUUCCCGAAGACCCUCGCUGGGAGCUGCCUCGGGACAGACUGGUCUUAGGCAAACCCCUGGGAGAGGGCUGCUUUGGGCAGGUGGUGUUGGCAGAGGCUAUCGGGCUGGACAAGGACAAACCCAACCGUGUGACCAAAGUGGCUGUGAAGAUGUUGAAGUCGGACGCAACAGAGAAAGACUUGUCAGACCUGAUCUCAGAAAUGGAGAUGAUGAAGAUGAUCGGGAAGCAUAAGAAUAUCAUCAACCUGCUGGGGGCCUGCACGCAGGAUGGUCCCUUGUAUGUCAUCGUGGAGUAUGCCUCCAAGGGCAACCUGCGGGAGUACCUGCAGGCCCGGAGGCCCCCAGGGCUGGAAUACUGCUACAACCCCAGCCACAACCCAGAGGAGCAGCUCUCCUCCAAGGACCUGGUGUCCUGCGCCUACCAGGUGGCCCGAGGCAUGGAGUAUCUGGCCUCCAAGAAGUGCAUACACCGAGACCUGGCAGCCAGGAAUGUCCUGGUGACAGAGGACAAUGUGAUGAAGAUAGCAGACUUUGGCCUCGCACGGGACAUUCACCACAUCGACUACUAUAAAAAGACAACCAACGGCCGACUGCCUGUGAAGUGGAUGGCACCCGAGGCAUUAUUUGACCGGAUCUACACCCACCAGAGUGAUGUGUGGUCUUUCGGGGUGCUCCUGUGGGAGAUCUUCACUCUGGGCGGCUCCCCAUACCCCGGUGUGCCUGUGGAGGAACUUUUCAAGCUGCUGAAGGAGGGUCACCGCAUGGACAAGCCCAGUAACUGCACCAACGAGCUGUACAUGAUGAUGCGGGACUGCUGGCAUGCAGUGCCCUCACAGAGACCCACCUUCAAGCAGCUGGUGGAAGACCUGGACCGCAUCGUGGCCUUGACCUCCAACCAGGAGUACCUGGACCUGUCCAUGCCCCUGGACCAGUACUCCCCCAGCUUUCCCGACACCCGGAGCUCUACGUGCUCCUCAGGGGAGGAUUCCGUCUUCUCUCAUGAGCCGCUGCCCGAGGAGCCCUGCCUGCCCCGACACCCAGCCCAGCUUGCCAAUGGCGGACUCAAACGCCGCUGACUGCCACCCACACGCCCUCCCCAGACUCCACCGUCAGCUGUAACCCUCACCCACAGCCCCUGCUGGGCCCACCACCUGUCCGUCCCUGUCCCCUUUCCUGCUGGCAGGAGCCGGCUGCCUACCAGGGGCCUUCCUGUGUGGCCUGCCUUCACCCCACUCAGCUCACCUCUCCCUCCACCUCCUCUCCACCUGCUGGUGAGAGGUGCAAAGAGGCAGAUCUUUGCUGCCAGCCACUUCAUCCCCUCCCAGAUGUUGGACCAACACCCCUCCCUGCCACCAGGCACUGCCUGGAGGGCAGGGAGUGGGAGCCGAUGAACAGGCAUGCAAGUGAGAGCUUCCUGAGCUUUCUCCUGUCGGUUUGGUCUGUUUUGCCUUCACCCAUAAGCCCCUCGCACUCUGGUGGCAGGUGCCUUGUCCUCAGGGCUACAGCAGUAGGGAGGUCAGUGCUUCGUGCCUCGAUUGAAGGUGACCUCUGCCCCAGAUAGGUGGUGCCAGUGGCUUAUUAAUUCCGAUACUAGUUUGCUUUGCUGACCAAAUGCCUGGUACCAGAGGAUGGUGAGGCGAAGGCCAGGUUGGGGGCAGUGUUGUGGCCCUGGGGCCCAGCCCCAAACUGGGGGCUCUGUAUAUAGCUAUGAAGAAAACACAAAGUGUAUAAAUCUGAGUAUAUAUUUACAUGUCUUUUUAAAAAGGUCAUUACCAGAGAUUUACCCAUCGGGUAAGAUGCUCCUGGUGGCUGGGAGGCAUCAGUUGCUAUAUAUUAAAAACAAAAAAGAAAAAAAA